rnacentral:rRNA from 1 species
CCUACGGGAGGCAGCAGUGAGGAAUAUUGGUCAAUGGACGAGAGUCUGAACCAGCCAAGUAGCGUGAAGGAUGACUGCCCUAUGGGUUGUAAACUUCUUUUAUAAAGGAAUAAAACGCGGCACGUGUGCCUUUUUGCAUGUACUUUAUGAUUACGGCUCGGCUAACUCCGUGCCAGCAGCCGCGGUAAUCCGGAGGAUCCGAGCGUUAUCCGGAUUUAUUGGGUUUAAAGGGCGCGUAGAUGGGUUGUUAAGUCAGGUGUGAAAGUUUGCGGCUCAACCGUAAAAUUGCAAUUGAAACUGGCAGUCUUGAGUACAGUAGAGGUAAGCGGAAUUCGUGGUGUAGCGGUGAAAUGCGUAGAUAUUACGAAGAACCCCGAUGGCGAAGGCAGCUUACUAAACUGUGACUGACAUUGAUGCUCGAAAGUGUGGGGAGCAAACAGGAUUAGAUACCCGAGUAGUC